rnacentral:rRNA from 1 species
CCUACGGGUGGCAGCAGUGGGGAAUAUUGGACAAUGGGCGAAAGCCUGAUCCAGCCAUGCCGCGUGUGUGAAGAAGGCCUUCGGGUUGUAAAGCACUUUCAGUGGGGAAGAAAGCCUUGGGGCUAAUACCCUCGAGGAAGGACAUCACCCACAGAAGAAGCACCGGCUAACUCCGUGCCAGCAGCCGCAGUAAUACGGAGGGUGCGAGCGUUAAUCGGAAUUACUGGGCGUAAAGCGCGCGUAGGCGGUCUGAUAAGCCGGUUGUGAAAGCCCCGGGCUCAACCUGGGAACGGCAUCCGGAACUGUCAGGCUAGAGUGCAGGAGAGGAAGGUAGAAUUCCCGGUGUAGCAGUGAAAUGCGUAGAGAUCGGGAGGAAUACCAGUGGCGAAGGCGGCCUUCUGGACUGACACUGACGCUGAGGUGCGAAAGCGUGGGUAGCAAACAGGAUUAGAUACCCGUGUAGUC